rnacentral:rRNA from 1 species
GACGAACGCUGGCGGCGUGCUGAACACAUGCAAGUCGAACGAUGAAGCCGGAGCUUGCUCUGGUGAAUUAGUGGCGAACGGGUGAGUAACGCGUGAGUAACCUGCCCUCGACUCUGGGAUAACUGCGGGAAACUGUAGCUAAUACCGGAUACGACCCUCGGAGGCAUCUCCUGGGGGUGGAAAGAAUUUCGGUCAAGGAUGGACUCGCGGCCUAUCAGCUAGUUGGUGAGGUAAAGGCUCACCAAGGCGACGACGGGUAGCCGGCCUGAGAGGUAGGCCGGCCACACUGGGACUGGGACAGGGCCCAGACCCCUACGGGAGGCAGAAGUGGGGAAUAUUGCACAAUGGGCGCAAGCCUGAUGCAGCAACGCCGCGUGAGGGAUGACGGCCUUCGGGUUGUAAACCUCUUUUAGCAGGGAAGAAGCGAAAGUGACGGUACCUGCAGAAAAAGCACCGGCUAACUACGUGCCAGCCGCCGCCGUAA